AUGCUUAUCUGGCAGGAGAGAUACCAUGUUCACAAAGGUGGUCUUCCCGGGACAAGGCUUAUCCAUUGCACUACGGAUGUGCUGACCCCUGCGAUUUCCCCAAAUGUGGGAAACUCGACUGCAUAAUUUGUGGUAGUGGGGGACUGCGUUCACGGUCUCCCCUG
ensembl:snRNA U1 U1 spliceosomal RNA